CUCUUGGGGAGACUCGAACUCACAACCUCUUGGUUGGAAGUGGAGGUAGCUUACCAUCAGAGCAACCCCUCUUGUCUCCUUUGGUGAUUACAAACAUCAUAAGGAAAUGCUAACCAAUAGUUUUAAUCUAGCUUGUAUGUUCCUUUAAUGAUUGGUUUAAUGAAGAAAUGGUAAUAUAAUGGUCAACUACUAGCAAAUAUGAUUAACAUAGAACCCUCUCUUACACAAAGUGGAAAGUAACUUUUGGCCAUUGGUAGAACACUCAUCUAUAGAUUAAAAGCAUUAUCUUGAUUUUUAUAACACUCCCUUCUGCUAUUACUUGGAUUCUGAUAGCUUCCAAUAGUACAUAAGUUCCAUAAAUUGUUGACAUGACUAUGUCAACAUCUUUAUCAGCAUAAACUUUGAGUAUAAUUAGUUUGUUUUUGUAUCUAAGGCAAAAUUAUUUCUUGUUCUCUUUGCUCGAAUGCUCUCCAAGUAAUCCCUCUCUGAUGUCAUUUUUUUGUUUUUUUGCAUGCUCCUCCUUGUUGAUCUAUAGAAACCUUCUUUGGUGGUAUAGAUAUUAUUAGCUGAGAGAAAAUUUAUUUCUGGUAGUUGAGGAGAAAUCAUUGCUGGUAAUUUAGGGAACACCCGUUGCUGGAUUUCAAUGGAUAAUGGAGAUAAAAGUUGGAUGUAUCUCCUAAGAUGGACGGAUGAGUAUAUCCGUGGAGUGAACAAUUUUUUUGAUAAGGCAUUUGAACGAGCUUCCUAGGGAAAUGAAAUAUUAUGCCCUUGCAAAAAGUGUAUUAAUCGCUAUUGGCACUAUAGAAAUGUGGUGGAGGAUCACUUGGUUGUUAAUGGUUUUGUUGAUGGUUACACCAAAUAGGUUUUUCAUGGGAAAGGGUUUUCCUCUAGAAAUGCACCUCACCAAAGCAAUGAUGAUGAAGGUUCUAACAUGCGUGAUGAUAUUGAUGGAUUACUUCAUGUUACCUUUAGAAAUGUAGAAGGUGAGGCAAAGCAGGAAGAACAGAUGAGAGAAACUCUAUCUGAAGAUGCUAAGAGAUUUUUCAGAUUAUUAGAGGAAGGCAAACAAGAAUUAUAUCCUGGGUGUGAAACCUUCACUAAAUUGAGUUUUACUAUUCGGUUGUACGUGUUUAAAUCCUUGCAUGGAUUGAGAAAUGUGGCCUUUUCAGAUAUGCUAGAGUUGUUAAAAGAGGCAUUUCCCUUUGCUCAGUUGCCAGAAUCUUUCAACAAGGCUAGAAACAUGAUAAAAGAUUUGGGUCUUCAUUAUGAAAAAAAUACAUGCAUGCCCUAAUGAUUGCAUGUUAUUUUGGAAAGACAAUGCAAAGGCUGAUAAUUGCUUUGUUUGUGGGGCUUCUUGAUGGAAAGUUGUUGAUGCUUCCUUGACUAAUACAAGCGCUAAAAUUCCAGUAAAGGUUUUAAGGUACUUUUCCCUAAAGCCUAGGCUUCAGAGGAUAUUCUUGUGUCCUGAAACAACCAUUGCAAUGAGAUGGCAUGCUAAUGAACGACCCAAUGAUGGGAAUAUGAGGCAUCCUGCUGAUGGAGAAGCUUGGAAGGAUUUUGAUUCUCUACGCCCAGACUUCUCCAGAGAUCCACGUAAUGUUAGGUUGGGUCUUUCAAGUGAUAGUUUCAACCCAUUUCGAACCAUGGGCAUUUCUCAUAGCACGUGGCCUGUCAUGUUAAUGAACUAUAAUUUAUCACCAUGGAUUUGCAUGAAGCCAGAAUAUAUCAUGUUGUCAAUGAUCAUUCCAGGUCCUUCAUCUCUAGGAAAUGAUAUAGAUGUGUAUCUACAACCAUUAAUUGAAGAAUUGAAGAAUUGAAGGAACUAUGGGAAACUGGGAUAAAAACAUAUGAUGCUGAGACAAGGCAAACAUUCAAAAUGCGUGCAGCCUUAUUGUGGAUAGUUAGUGAUUUUCUAGCAUUAGCAAUGCUUUCAGGCUGGAGCACCAAGGGUAGACUGGCAUGCCCCACUUGUAAUUACGACACAUGCUCACGAUAUCUCAAACAUAGUCAUAACAUGUGUUACUUGGGUCAUCGAAGAUUUUUGCCUCUUGAUCAUCCAUCGAGAAAAGAUAAGAUGUCAUUUGAUCGAGAAAAGAUUUUUGCAAACUAUUCAUUCCAUUAGGUUGUGCUUAUUCAUGCUUAUUCAUUUAUGACUAGAGAACGAAAUGUUCGUUUACACUUGACUUUGCAGAAAAUGAAAGAAACCAACACUGAGAAAUCGCAAAAAGUAGAGAUAUCCACACACUGCUGGCAAAAAUUUUUUUGCUAGAAUAUGCGAGGAAAAAAAGAAAGAAACUUCUGAACCUCUAUCAAGUAAGGACAUAUUUGUGGCUACAAGAAAAAGAAAGCCCGAUCGAGUAUACAAGGCCUCGUAUGCGGAUACUCUUAAUAAAAUUGUACAAGCUGAAAUGGAUAGAAUACAAUCAACACAAGAAAUUGAAGAUGGCAGUCAAUUAGUUGACGCGUUUGCGUCCGUCAUGGGAUCUGAGCAUCCAGGACGCCUAAGAUUGUACGGACGUGGGGUUACCAAGACUUCCUUAAAAGAAAAGUGGGAGAUAUUGGAACCUCUUUAAGUUCUGCCGAUGAGAUGCUGCAAUAAAAAAUGGUGGAAAUGGAAGAAAGGAUACAACAAAGAAUGCAGGAAAAGUUUAAUGCACAAAAAGAUGCCAUGGAACUACAAGUUGCAGUUAACAUCAUUUAACAACUUAAGCAUCUGAAUCCAGAUUUACAGGUUGAUCCCAGCAUACCAGCUUUCAAUGCUCGUUCACCUGGAGAUGCUUCCUCUGCACAACAAGUUACUGUGCAACUAAUCAAUCGCCUAUCUACUGGGAGUAAUAAUCGAGGUGGAGCAACCGAAGAAAGGGAAGAUGGAGAAGGUGGAGCAACUGAAGAAAGGGAAGAUGGAGAUAGUGAAGAUCUAGACCUUACAUAAGAACUUUGAGUUGUUUUCGAUAUUCUUGGAGUCUUUUGUUAUAACAUUUGAAACUUUAACUUUUGAAGUGUUGAACUGUAAAACUUAUGUAAUUGAGUUAAAACAUUUUGUUAUUAUCAUUAUUCUUGGAUUAUUGGA